GGAGGGGUGGCAGAGCGGUUGAAUGCGGCGGUCUCGAAAAUCGUUGUGCAGCUGAUUGUUGUACCCAGGGUUCGAAUCCCUGCCCCUCCGCCA
rnacentral:tRNA from 1 species